GCUUGAGUUGUUCUCCUUCCAUCGGGCGAAAUGAACUUAGUGGGAGGUUUUACUUUAUGGGUUGCUCCACAGGUAUACCCUGGACCUGGGGCCUUGAGGGUGAAGUUUUUCGGCGGUUUCACUGUCCUAUUGCUCGUUCCGGAUCGGCCAACAGUGAUCUGAAACGAUGCCACUGCAUUGACUGGAUCUUGCACCCAUGAGCUAAGAACUCCUCCUUUGCAACAAUUUCCCACCUGCAUGCCGUUAGUCGCACCAGGAAGCAAGUCAACUACUGUUGGGUCUCUCCUGCAGCAGUGUGGUAUAUUGCCUUUAAAUUCAGAGCAAUCCCCUUGCUCUAUGGUCUGUGCACCCAUCAUUCCCCAGAUGAUCUCCUUCUUUGUCCAAGCCCACCUAAGAUGCCACCCAGGUGCUUGGAUAUGA
rnacentral:rRNA from 1 species